AAACAAUCCCAAUUGUAACUGUUUCUCAUAGGGAAAUGUUCCAACCCCUUUACGUUGCCCUUCUCUGCUCUUAUUCCACUCAAUAAUGUUCUUCUUUAAGUAUGGUAACUGAACUGUGCAUGAUAUUCCAAGUAUAAUCAUACCAAAGAUCUGUGCGGAGGAGUACAAUCCUGGCAGUUUUAUUUUCAAUUUCUUUCCUAAUUAUGCCUAGCAUGGAAUUUGCUAGGAUCCCAUCAACCUAUAAUAGAUGUUGGGAUUUUUGCCCUAUUUUUGCAUAAAUAAUAUUAAAUAGAUAAAUAAAUAAAUACAUGCAUUACUUUACACUUGCUUACACUGAACUGCAUUUGCCAUUUUGAUGCCCAUUCUUCCACUUCAAGAGAUCCCUGUGGAGCUCCUCACAAUCCCUUUUGGUUUUAAGCACCCUAAACAGUUUGAUGUCAUCAACAUCUGACCAUUUCAUUGCUUACUCCUAAUGUUAGAUCAUUUAUGAACAUUGUUCCUAAUACAGAAUCCUGCUGGACCCCACUGUUACAGCCCUCCCUUGGGAAAAAUCACCAUUUAUUCCCACUCUCUGCUUUCUGGUCUUUAACCGGUUACUGAUCUAUUAAAGGACACCCCAUCCUUAUUAUUCCAAGAUUACUCAGGAGUCUUUGCCGAGGGACUUUGCCAAAAGCCUUUUGGAAGUCCAAGUAAACAAUGUUUACCAGAUUGCCCCUGUCAACAUACUUACUGACACUCUCAAAGAACUCUAAUAGCAGGGGUUUUACAACAUCGCAAAAGAAAACAGAACCCAAAAAAGAAAAAUUACAGAAGAAGAAAGAUUGUUCAGUGAAAAGUGGACAGGUGACUGCUUUUUUGUUGAGGCAAAUAGUAAGGCACUCUGCUUACUUUGUAGGGAAUUUGUGCAAGUAUUCAAAGACUAUACUUUGAAAAGGCAUUAUAUGCAAAAACAUGCUGCAUAUCAAGGAUUGUGUCAUAAGGAAAAAUAGUGGAACUGAAAAAAGUCUGUCUUCUCAACAAUUUUUUUAAAGUUACAACUCAGACAGAUUCUAUUGUAAAAGCUAGUUAUAUGGUUGCAUAUUUAAUAGCAAAAAAAAAAGCUAAACUAUUUACUGAUAGUGAUUUUAUUAAGCAACGUAUGGAAAGUGUGGCAGAUAUAAUUUGCUCUGAAAAAAGGGGGAUAUUUCUAAAAUCAGUUUGUCUCACCAGACUAUAGCCAGGCGAAUUGAAGAAACUGGAAAAUCAAUCAAAAAAAAGUUUGGAGAGCAAAGUUGUGAAUUUUAAAUUUUAUGCUUUGGUGAUGAAUGACAGCACUCAUGCUACAAAUACAGUUCAACUUGCCAUUUUUAUUAGAGGUACUGAUGACAAAUAUAAUGUCACUGAAGAAAUGGCUUCUUUAGUGCCAUUAAAAGGCACAACUAAAUCAACAUUUAUAUGAAGCAGUAAAAAAUAUGUUAAAGUGA